AGUGAACGCUGGCGGUAGGCCUAACACAUGCAAGUCGAACGGCAGCACAGUAAGAGUUUGCUCUUACGGGUGGCGAGUGGCGGACGGGUGAGGAAUACAUCGGAAUCUACUUUUUCGUGGGGGAUAACGUAGGGAAACUUACGCUAAUACCGCAUACGACCUACGGGUGAAAGCAGGGGAUCUUCGGACCUUGCGCGAUUGAAUGAGCCGAUGUCGGAUUAGCUAGUUGGCGGGGUAAAGGCCCACCAAGGCGACGAUCCGUAGCUGGUCUGAGAGGAUGAUCAGCCACACUGGAAAUGAGACACGGUCCAGACUCCUACGGGAGGCAGCAGUGGGGAAUAUUGGACAAUGGGCGCAAGCCUGAUCCAGCCAUACCGCGUGGGUGAAGAAGGCCUUCGGGUUGUAAAGCCCUUUUGUUGGGAAAGAAAAGCAGCAGGUUAAUACCCCGCUGUUCUGACGGUACCCAAAGAAUAAGCACCGGCUAACUUCGUG
rnacentral:rRNA from 1 species